GAAAAACUCUCAACAAUGGAUGUCUUGGGACUCGCAUCGAUGAAGAACGCAGCGAACUGCGAUAAGUAGUGUGAAUUGCAGAAUUCCGUGAAUCAUCGAGUUUUUGAACGCAUAUUGCGCUCGAGGCCUCGGCCAAGAGCAUGUCUGCCUCAGCGUCAUUA
rnacentral:rRNA from 1 species